CUUACUGGGAGUCCACCAUGCACCAGGCCUGCAAUGAAGGGGAGAGGUGUGGUCCCUGCCUCCAGGGGAGACAGUCACAAAACCCCUGAUAUAGGACAAAUGCUUACCCCAAGGUGAAUGUAUUAGCAGAGGGGGCUUUGGGGAGGUGACUCGGUGAUGAAGGCAGAGCCCUCAUGGAUGGAUGAACAUCCUUCCAGGAAGAAACACGAGGGGGCUUGCUUCCUCCCCUGCUCUCCGCCAUGCAAGGACGCAGGAAGAAGGUGUUGUCCAUGAACCAGAAAUCAGGCCUUCCACACACACGGGAUCUACCAGCACCUUAAUCUUGGACUUGCGGCCUCUGGAACUGUGAGGACUAAAUGCCUGUUGUUUAAGCCUCCCAGUCUCUGGUAUUUUGGUUAUAGCAGCCUGAACUGACAGGAGUGAAAAUCAGAUGUGGCGGGCUGGAGAUAAAAGGGGAAAGUAGGAAGUACAGGUGGCAAGAGUAGCCCAUUCCUUCAAAAAGCUCUCCUGUGAGCAGGAGGCAAAGGGGGCACCCAGGACGGACAGAAGGUCACUGACAAGGAGGAAGCAUGACUGUGUGCGAAGGAGGAGCAGCCAGCGAGGGGAGGAACAGUCUGUGCAGAAGUGCAGGGACGCCAAGAGGUCUGCUACUGAGAAGAAUCAACUCUCUUUUGAAAGGGAUAGCAUUUUGCCUAAUUGAGGUUCAAAGUUAAGGUUCUUUAUCAUCAUAUUGAUUCCAAAUGCUCAUCUAUAAAAACUGCUCUUCGCUCGUGGGCUGCACAAAAGCAGGCAGUGGGCCCCUGGUUUAGAGCAGACACGGUCAAGGAUGUAGAAGGAGGUCCACUCCCUCAAGGGGAGAAGAGUUGAUGAAGCUGCAAUCCUGGAACAGGUGGAGUCCACCCAGGGGAGGUUCCCAGGAAGGCAUAGGCUAAAGGUCAACAAGAACAGUGCAAACCCCAGCGGGUGACCAAGGAGAGGGAUCAUUUGCAUUAAGGCACAAAGUCAACAGGAGUGGCUGCAGAGCUCACAGAGCAGGACACAGGACCCAGAAGCCCCCAAGGGCCACAGGGGCCACAGCUCCAGGGUAAGAAGAGGCCUGCUCAGAGGGCAUCUGGGGAAGACCUCUCCAGCUCCAGGGUAGAAAAGGAACAGAGGGGUCUCAGGCCUGGGUGCUGCCCAAGGCCAGGUGAGUAGUGAGAACCCAGACAGAGGGAAGUGUGAAGGGCUGCAGAAGAGGGCCAUGGGAGACAGGCCAGGGCCUCAGGACAGGAGACUGGGGUCCCCCAGGCUCCCACUUGGGUGCUGAAGUUGGGGGUGACACCAGCUCAGGGGGUCCCAUGAAACACCUAGUCAUGCAGGGCUGAAACUCAAAAGAGAGGACUGAGCCAGAGAGACCCAUCUGGAUUUUCAGCAAAGAGCUGACCAGUGAACCCUCAGGAAACGCUGGAGUGCAAAUGGCACCACCAAGAAUCAGUCCCAGGAAAGAGGCACAAAGGCCGGGAAGAGGACUGGGCAAUGAAGAGUCGCCCUUAGAGAACAGGAAAACCAAGAACGGGAGGUCAGAGAAAGAAAACUCUGCCAGAAGAGGGAGCAUCAGCAGGGAGGUCCAGGCCCUGCAAACAUGAGGGUGCCCAGAGCUGCCUUCAGGGUAGGUGGGGACAGGAGCCAGCCAUGGUGGCAGGAAGAUCAGAUGGGAUGUGAAGACACAAUCCAGGACAGGGAGGACAGACAAGUCUUCCCAGAAGCUUGCCUGGGAAGGAAAAGAAAGAUCUGGAGCCAGAGUUGAGGGACAGGUGUCAAUGCUGAGGAGAAGAAGCCAGGAAAGAAAGAAGAAUAAAGGUGAAGUCGGGCUGCUUGAGAUGUUUGGUGAAAUGAGGCAACGUGCCUGUGAUUUUGUUUUCCACCCCAGUUGCCGGGGCAUGCUCUGAGGCUUGCAAUUUCCGUGGGCACAGCCAGGUGAGUUUGGGUGGCGUCGUCUGAUCCCCACUCUUGACCCCUUGGCCCCUGCAGCUCUCCGAGCAGAGAAGUUGUUCUUCUGUCACUGCUUGCACAUUGGUGAGCAAAAAGAUGGAAAAGCCAGUGUGAUUUCCAACUAAUCUUGACUAAGUCAGAUAUAGGGGGUUUUUUCCCCACCUCUGGGAAGAUUGUCAAGUGAAACAAUGUGGCUUUGAGCUUCUGACAGAUGCUAAUGAAUUGUUGUUUACAUUUUUGAUUUACUGCCUAAACAAAGAUAAGACAUGCUCUUGAAAACACAUUGAAUGCACAAUCCAAACACAUCCAUUAAAUCUGUCACAAUAAACAUGACAGCUUUCUUCUAACCUAACAACUGGCAUGCCUCAUUUGCAUAUUAAUGAGAAAACCGGGAUCAGCCGCGCAAAUUACUUAUAUCUCAUGAAGGGGCUGCUCCUGAUGACAGCGAGACACUUGGGGGUGUAAAUACACCACGUUAAUACCUUUGCUGUUUUGGUGCCUUUUCCCUCUCUGUGCUUGGGCUCUGUGCGCCAGGUUGGAUAUUUCCGUUAAGCUGUGUGGGGGCAGGGGCCCCUGACGGGAGUCAUCAUGGGCCCAGAAAGAGCUGGAUUGGCCUCAAAUCCUGCCAACACUCCAAGAACACUUAGUGAGCACCUACUACGGCCUGGUCAACAGUUUCCAAUUGCAGUUGAACUUGAUCAUGAAUUGCAUUCAAAUGAACCAAGAGAAAAAUAUGAGAAUUUACUGGUACCAACCAGGUGUGACUUUUCACAUGCAUCAUCACAUUUAAACCUCACAGGAAGCCUUAGAACAGGGUGCACAAAAGUAAAAGUGCAAGGACCCCGACUCCCAUUCCUCACCCACGGCAGACAUAGCUAGUCAAUGCCAGAACUCCUUCCAGCUGAGCCUGGAAUCAAACUCGCAAUGCUCAAGGCAAGACUUCAAGAGGCUGCCACCAUCCAAAGGAUCCACACAGGUGAUGAAGCCCCAUUGGUGUCCUGCCUUAGGACAGGUAUGAUUGUUGACAUUACAGAAAUGAGAAAAAGACCCAUUUGGAAAAGUUAGGGGACCUACCAGGUCACCAGGCAAGGAAGAGGCAAAGUCGAGAUUCCACCCUGGGUCUUCCAGCCACCAGCCCAGUUCCCUCCUCACUUCUGCCGCUUCCUAGAGCACCUCACGGCUCCACUCUUUACACAGCUUCACCUGGGCCUAUGUGUCUAGGUAGGAAUUAAGUUGAUUAUGAUUGAAGGUAUCAGCAACAAGAUAACUCAAAUUGAAGGGGCCAGAGAACAUAAUGCUUCCAGGAAGAAGUGGUCCAGGCCCCAACACCACAGUGAUGUCUUCAGAGUCACGAACGCUGAAAGUCUGCAGGAUAUCCCAUCCUCAGACACGCUUGGGUCUGCACCCCACUCUGGCUGCCUGGGGCAAUUCCCUUCAUUUCCCUGAGUCUCAUUUAUAAAAAGGAAAUGAUAGCUCUCACUUUCUACCACCAUCAUGAGCAUAAAAGGGAUUUUGCUCUAAAGAACUUAGCACAAAGCCUGCUCAAUAAAUGGUGGUUUAAAAAUGCCAAACCCUCACCACCAGAGGUUUUGCUAAAUCUUUUACUCCAGCUGGCUCCACCCAGCUGCUUCUUCCUUGCUAUACGCCAGACUCAAGAGUGCGGCAGUUACUCUCAGAAAGUGCCAUGCCAUCUGAGGGAGACUCACACCUAAAGAGAAGCUCUCCUUUCCCCUUCUUCCCUCUGCUCCUCCAGCAUCUUCUUCAGGAAGGGCCUGUCCCUGAGCUGGAACUGCCAAGUCAGGGUGGUGCAGGCCCUGCCCACAAUCCAAAAUCCCCAGGUCAGGCAACUCAGCCCUGGCUUAUUCUUUUAGAGCUCCCAUCCUCAUUCCACAUUGCAGCACCCACAUCCCAGGCUUUGGCCCCUGGCCAUUGAAAGGCCCGCUGGGUGUCCAAGGUGGUGUUCACAGAGGCCAGGUGCUCAGAAUCUGCUGACAAGAAGACCUCAAGUGUACAAGGUGGAGAGAGCCAAAGGCACUCUAUAAAAAGGAAUUCUCAGGGAUGCUGCCACUGGGCAUUUUUAUUACAGAUUAAUCUAUCCACAUUACUUCACAAGAGAAAAAAGGUCCUAUUCCUAUUGAAUUAGAUGCACAUGGAAAUAUUUCCAAUGCUGCAACUCUUUCCCCUACUGAUUUCCUUUUCCUUUUCUUUUUUCUUUUUUUUUUAUUUUUUUAUUUUUUUUCAUUUUCUUUUUAGAGACAGGGUCUUGCUUUGUUGCCCAGGCUGGAGUGCAGUGGCACAGUCAUGGCUCACUGCAACCUCAAACCCACCUAAGCCUCCCAAAGUGUUAGGAUUACAGGCGUGAGCCACCACACCUGGCCUGAUUUUCUUUAACUACCACGUCUUGAUAUCUUUAAAAAAAAAAAACAAAAAAAAAAACAAAACGGAGUCUCGCUGUGUCUCCCAGGCUGGAGUGCAGUGGCAUGAUCUCGGCUCUCUGCAACCUCUGCCUCCUGGGUUCCAAUGAUUCUCCUGCCUCAGCCUCCUGAGUAGUUGGGAUUACAGGUGUGCACCACCACACCCAGCUAAUUUUUGUAUUUUUAGGAGAGACAGGGUUUUGCCAUGUUGGCCAGGCUGGGCUCGAUCUCCUGACUUCAAGUGAUCCACCCGCCUAGGUCUCCCCAAAGUGCCGGGAUUACAGGCAUGAGCCACUGGGCCUGGCCCAAGAUCUUUGUGUUAGGCUCAUGCUAGAUGUUACAUGUUGUGGGAAGCUCCUAAGAUGACCCCCAGUGAAAGCCCCUCUCCUGGUUUUCACCCCCUUGAUACCUGUCCCUUGAGUGUGGGCUGGACUUGACAGCUCACUUCUAACAAACAGGAUAUGACAGGGGUGAUGAAUGUCACUUCCGAGAUUAGGUUAUAAAAAGACUAUGGCCUCUGUCUUGGGCUCUCUCUCUCUCUACUCACUCUAGGGGAAGCCAGCUGUCAUGUCAUGAGGCACCCGGAGCCUCUGCAUAGCAGGGAGCUGGAGGCAGACUCAGCCCAAAGCCAGUAGGAGUUGGAGGGCCUCAUUCUACCAGCUUACAGGGGACUGAAGGCUAGCUACAAUUAUGUGUGUGAGCUCACAUUGCAGUCAGGCUGGGGAUUCCGUCUUGGCCAAGUCUUCAGACGAAACUGUAACCCAGGCCACAGCUUGACUGCAGUGUUGUUGGUGACCUUGAGGCAGAGGCACCAGCUCAGCUGCACCUGGAUUCCUGACUCAGAAACUAUGAGAUAAUAAAUGUUUAUUGUUUUCAGCUGCU
rnacentral:lncRNA from 1 species